rnacentral:rRNA from 1 species
UACGAAGGGGGCUAGCGUUGCUCGGAAUCACUGGGCGUAAAGCGCACGUAGGCGGAUUGUUAAGUCAGGGGUGAAAUCCUGGAGCUCAACUCCAGAACUGCCUUUGAUACUGGCGAUCUCGAGUCCGGGAGAGGUGAGUGGAACUGCGAGUGUAGAGGUGAAAUUCGUAGAUAUUCGCAAGAACACCAGUGGCGAAGGCGGCUCACUGGCCCGGUACUGACGCUGAGGCACGGAAAGCGUGGGGAGCAAACAGG